UACGGAGGAUCCAAGCGUUAUCCGGAUUUAUUGGGUUUAAAGGGUGCGUAGGCGGCUUUUUAAGUCAGGGGUGAAAACUUGCGGCUCAACCGUAAGCUUGCCUUUGAUACUGAAAGUCUUGAGUAUGGGAGAGGUGAGUGGAACUGCGAGUGUAGAGGUGAAAUUCGUAGAUAUUCGCAAGAACACCAGUGGCGAAGGCGGCUCACUGGCCCAUUACUGACGACUGAGGCACGGAAAGCGAUGGG
rnacentral:rRNA from 1 species